rnacentral:rRNA from 1 species
AGUGAACGCUGGCGGCAUGCCUUACACAUGCAAGUCGAACGGCAGCAUGAUCAGACUUGCUUGAUAGAUGUGGCGUGUCGCAGGGGUGUGAAAUAUAUAUGGGCGUCUAUUUUAUCGGGGGGUAACUCGUCGAGAAAUUAACUCUUACCGCGCACACGCCGUACGGGUGAGUGCAGGGGCGCAAGGCACCUUGCUCUAGUGAAUGCGCCGAUGUCGUAUUAGCUAGUUGGUGGGGUAAAGUCCCACCAAGGCGACGAUCCGUAGCUGGUCUGAGAGGAUGAUCAGCCACACUGGAACUGAGACACGGCCCAGACUCCUACGGGAGGCAGCAGUGGGGAAUUUUGGACAAUGGGCGAAAGCCUGAUCCAGCAAUGCCGCGUGUGUGAAGAAGGCCUUCGGGUUGUAAAGCCCUUUUGUUCGGAAAGAAAAGGAGCUGGUUAAUACCUGGGGGUGAUGACGGUACCGAAAGAAUAAGGACCGGCUAACUACGUG